UGGAGCUCUUAAAAAUGACUUAAUGCUUGCAGUUAUCUUUUUCAACAUCUAUAAACCAACAUGAAUACUUCAUGAUUUAGGAAACAUGUAAAAAUUCCUAUUGACAUCCGAUAAUAAAUCUCCUGCAUCUAUCAUUCAUCGCUUAUAAAAAGCACAUAUAAGUCAAACAAGCAUCAGAUGCAUUUAACAUAAUUCUUGUUUGACACAAAAUACAUAAUAAUGCCACAGAAGUCUUCAAAUUACAAAUAAAACUUGAACAACCCAUUAACGAAAAUUACUAAUAAACAAGUUGGUCCCUUUUCUUUCCCAUUCCAGUCCAAGUAUCCUCUUCCCUUACGGAAUGUCACUUGCAAUGACACCUCAACGUCUCGUUUCUCAAUUAUUCGGGCCAAAGUUUCAAGCAUGUUUGGAAAAUCUUCAACUUCCUCAUUCUCUGGCAUCACCUCAUUGAAGUUACUACACUGUUAGCUUGAUUCUCCUUCAUCCACCCAGUCAAAAAAUUUGCAGUUCUUACUGCAAAUGUUGAAUAGUCGUCCUUUGUUACGUGUUUGUUUUUCAACCUCAAAACAUUUCUAAAAUCCAUGUGGACGCCUUGGGCAACGACGUUUUCUCAUGCAUUCCUUGAAUGAGUGCCACUUGCUUCGACAACUGUGACAUAUGCCAACAUUCCUUCCUCUCAUGCCGAAAUGAUGAACAACAAAGAAUGAAGUUACAUAAUAUAUUUUGAUAGUGUCACUUUGAUCAUACUUAAACUGAAAAUUAUUCUAUGUCAACAGUUCAAUAAACUAAACUCCACAAGACUCGCUUCAAUUAAUGUUAUAUAUGAGACCUCUAUCUUUGAUUUCUAUCAAAAUCAUAAAGCUAGACAAACAUGUCCCAUACUGCAAAUGAAUGAAAUAAGCUAAAACAAAAUGCAGUUCUGCACUUCUUUAAACUGGGAUACGUGCAACACUUGCAUAAGCAUAAAUCUGUCUCAAUGUUAUGAUCCAUGGGAAGUUGAGAUUUUUACAGUCUCAUGUAUAAUUACUAGUGCACAAUACACAGCUACAGAGUAUGGACUAUGCAGUUUAACAUUCAAAUAACAGAUGGCUAUUUAGAUACUUAAUAAACUGAAAUGUAUUAAACGACAUGAAGAAUAAUCAGAUUAUUGAAACUUAAUUUUAAUGUAUUUCAAAGAGUGCUCAAAGAAAUCAGAUUCAAAUCAGUUCCACAUGAUUGAAUUCGACAACAACCAGAUGAAAGUAAUAUGAAUCAAUUUGUUUGUUCAACUUUUAAUUACACAAACAAAAACUACCUAUUUAAUUCCUUCCAUUAUUUUUACAAAUGUUUUUUCAACAAUUUCGCUUCGUUUCAGUUCGGUGACUUCAUGGCUGUCAUAGAGAUUUCAUCCUCUGACCAAAGGUUAGACGUCACACACUUACUUGAGAUGUAUAGACUAGAAAAAUAUGUCAUUUUCAGUUGGGCGGUGGAGGAUGCUUCGCGGCGGUGGAAGAUGGGCAACGUUUGAACUUUUUCGAUUUCCACGAAUCCUCGAUUUGACGAUGGACUAUUCUUCUUCUUCACCUAUUUUGAAGAUGGCCGGAGCUGGAGAUGCUUUUUAUGGUGUUGUCUCGCCGUCUUUUAUGGAGGCCGGUGGAAACAGUGAAGGAGAGUCGGGAAGGGUUUUGAAAUUGGGGGAAAUAUGUUCGAAGCCAAAUGAGGACUGCCCGAUUUCCAAACGGUUUUUGUCCUUUUUAUUUUAUUUUUCUUUUUUUUUUCCCAGCCAGGUCAGAUUCCCCUGUGAACCCCCUUUCUGUACGCCUAGCAGCACCGAAU
rnacentral:lncRNA from 1 species